CAGAAAUGAGUUUCUGGAAUGGGCAUUUGUUUCUACUAAAGCCUGAAAAUCAAUUCUCGGUUGCCUGGGGGUAAGAGCUUUGCCAUUGGUGAGAGAUUUCUGUGGCACACCUUAUGGAACUGCAACUCCAAAGGUGUCUGUGCCUCACUGUUUUCUCAGCAAAACACCUCCUUCUCCCCUCCCCCUCCCCGACCCCUCCCUCUGCUUCACACACCUCCCACACAUGCACAGUCACUUGUACACACAGAUGCACACACAACAGAACACAAACACACUAUACACACAGCAUUCAUGUUAAAAUAGAGAUGGUAAGAUUGACAGAACAGACUCUCUGUGGCAAUAAGAUACAAAAUUAUUAACAGGACCUAAGGCCAUGCCAGGCCAGGGUGAAGUCUCACACUCUAAACUUAAAGAAUAAAUGACGUUCUCACUGCCACAGGCUUUUCAUUUUCUCUAGCAGCUAAACAAACAUUGCCCCCAAAAUUAGCAAGACUAAAACCGUUACAAGCCAUCCAGCUCACAGACACUGACUAAUUAACCCCCGUUCCACAAGCUGUAACUACAGCUUUCACUGGACAAGGGACUGAUUUCAGUAACUUUCUUCUCACACGAAGACCACCCACCAUCGACUGGUUCUGGCCGGUCUGCAGAGGCUGCCUUCAUGUCCUGAAAAUUUCUUUUGAUGCAUAGGGUCUAGACUGUAAUACAUUUAGAUCUUAAAUCUCCACUCAAAAAUGAACUUGAGUUGUAUGUUACAGGCAUCUUUGUUCAAUACGCAUGCAUCAGGACCACUUCAUGAAUAUUCACAGCUCCUCCUGUAACCUGUUGAUCCUCCAGCCCAUUCAGCAUAAAGCUCCUGCCCCAACCCCUUCUCCUCCAAGGUGCCUGUUUCUAAUCUCUGCGGGAGGCUGUGCUUCCCAGCCUGUGGGAUGCCACCUUGCAGAGUGUAACUCUUUCCAAGAAAUCAUGUCUCCUUUUCCAAAUUUAUUAAUUGUGUGUUUUUUUUUCUUUAAGUUAAUAGCUGUUUAAAGGCUUGGGGAAAUUGGGAGAGGGGAACGGAAAGUCAAGAGGUGGGAGAAAUAAGGGAAGAGCUGUAUCCAGCUCUGCAGUGACUCCACCCAGGUUUCAGGAGACCCCGUCCAUGCCUUUGGGGAAGAGUGCAUUCAAAGCCUUCGACAACUUGUGUCUAUAUUUUAUUUGUUUUCUCCAUAAUGAGGGGAUUUUCUUCUAUACUCAAGUUAUGUAUGAAUAUUGAAAACAAGAAGCCUCAUAGGAGGGUCCAGGGGCACACAGAGAUUGAUUUCAAACAUUUGCAUUAACUAGGGUUGGAAGAUUUGUAGAGAUGGUUAGAUCAUAGAAUUCCCAAUGUAUUAUACACUAAUUGAAAGUCUAUUUGUUAAGUUUUGUGUACUUUCCAUUUUUCACUUUUUAACAACAAUGAAGCCUGAAAACUAACACUGUUUUCACAAAUAGACUUAUUUUUCAGAAUGGCAAAUUGUAAGUAUGAGUCACACGACAUUGAAAUAUUCCAGGGGAACUGAGGAGCUUGAGAAACCUAAAAUCCUGACAGUGUCCACCUGAAAGAGCGCUGCCUUCUGCCAUGUGAGGACCUGGCAUUCUUCCUCUGUGGAGGACACAGCAUUCAAGGCGCCAUCUUGGAAUCAGAAUCACUAACCACAUCAAAGCCUAAUACUGGACUUCCCAACCUCCUAAACU
rnacentral:lncRNA from 1 species